UACGGGGGGAGCAAGCGUUGUUCGGAUUUACUGGGCGUAAAGGGCGCGUAGGCGGUCAGCACAAGUCAGUUGUGAAAUCUCCGGGCUUAACCCGGAAAGGUCAACUGAUACUGUGCGACUAGAGUGCGGAAGGGGCAACUGGAAUUCUCGGUGUAGCGGUGAAAUGCGUAGAUAUCGAGAGGAACACCUGCGGCGAAGGCGGAUCUCUGGGCCAUAACUGACGCUGAGGAGCGAAAGCAUGGGGAGCGAACAGG
rnacentral:rRNA from 1 species